CAUCCUUCUCCCUGAUUUAUCAACCUCUUUGCCUUUUCUUAAAUCCCUCUGUUUCUGUUUUGUCGUUUACGGAUGAGCUUAUUUCUGCCUCGGCUCCGUGGGGCAGGGGCCUGCAUGUCCCGUUCGCCGCGAGCGGCCCCGGCUGCACAGCAGACAUCAGGAAACCCGAGUUUCAUGACUGAAUGAAUGAGCUGGGUGGACUUCUCUCGGCUUCUAGAAAUGGAUCCUGUGUGUCCCCAGGGCUGCGAAGCAGCAGACCUCAGCCCGCGGUCAGAUGGAAAAUCCCGCAUCAGAGCGCCACGCACAGCAUCAGGUGGCGCGCGCAGGACGAUGCAUUUUAAAAGAUUUCACCACUUUUAAAAAUGUGGAAACCCUC
rnacentral:lncRNA from 1 species